UACAGAGGCCCCAAGCGUUACUGAGAAUCACUGGGUUUAAAGGGUGCGUAGGUGGCGCGUUAAGUCCGUUGUGAAAUCCCUUGGCUCAACCAAGGAAUGGCUUCGGAUACUGGCGUGCUUAAGGUUGGUAUGGGUCACUGGAACUGACGGUGGAGCGGUGAAAUGCGUAGAUAUCAGGAGGAACACCGGUGGUGUAGACGGCUUUCUGGACCGUAACUGACGCUGGAGAACACGAAAGCGUCGGGUAGCAAACAGG
rnacentral:rRNA from 1 species